rnacentral:rRNA from 1 species
UGGGGAAUCUUGCGCAAUGGGCGAAAGCCUGACGCAGCGACGCCGCGUGCGGGAAGAAGGCCUUAGGGUUGUAAACCGCUUUCAGGAGGGACGAAGCCACUCGGGUUAAUAGCCCAGAGGGUGACGGUACCUCCAGAAGAAGCCCCGGCUAACUACGUGCCAGCAGCCGCGGUAAUACGUAGGGGGCAAGCGUUGUCCGGAUUCAUUGGGCGUAAAGAGCGUGUAGGCGGCCAGGUAGGUCGGUUGUGAAAACUGGAGGCUCAACCUUCAGAGGUCGACCGAAACCAUCUGGCUAGAGUCCGGGAGAGGAGAGUGGAAUUCCUGGUGUAGCGGUGAAAUGCGCAGAUAUCAGGAAGAACACCCGUGGCGAAAGCGGCUCUCUGGAACGGUACUGACGCUGAGACGCGAAAGCGUGGGGAGCGAACA